AUGUGGCCAUAUCAUGUUAAAAACCCCGUUCCCGUACGAUCAACGAAGUUAAGCAACGUCGAGCAUGGUCUGUAUCCAUAUAGAUGGGUGACCGUUUGUGAAUACUAGGUGCUAUA